GAGUUUGAUCGUGGCUCAGAACGAACGCUGGCGGCAUGCCUAACACAUGCAAGUCGAACGAAGUCUUCGGACUUAGUGGCGCACGGGUGCGUAACGCGUGGGAAUCUGCCCUUGGGUACGGAAUAACUCAGAGAAAUUUGUGCUAAUACCGUAUAAUGUCUUCGGACCAAAGAUUUAUCGCCCAAGGAUGAGCCCGCGUAAGAUUAGCUAGUUGGUGAGGUAAGAGCUCACCAAGGCGACGAUCUUUAGCUGGUCUGAGAGGAUGAUCAGCCACACUGGGACUGAGACACGGCCCAGACUCCUACGGGAGGCAGCAGUGGGGAAUAUUGGACAAUGGGCGAAAGCCUGAUCCAGCAAUGCCGCGUGAGUGAUGAAGGCCUUAGGGUUGUAAAGCUCUUUUACCCGGGAUGAUAAUGACAGUACCGGGAGAAUAAGCUCCGGCUAACUCCGUGCCAGCAGCCGCUGUAAG
rnacentral:rRNA from 1 species